rnacentral:tRNA from 1 species
GGUGGCUCAGAGGUAGAGUGUUUGCCUUGCAAGCAUGAGACACUGGGUUCGAUUCCUCAGCACCA